UACAGGGGGGGCAAGCGUUGUUCGGAAUUACUGGGCGUAAAGGGCUCGUAGGCGGCCAACUAAGUCCGACGUGAAAUCCCAGAGCUCAACUCUGGAACUGCCUUUGAUACUGGGUGUCUUGAGUAUGGAAGAGGUGAGUGGAAUUCCGAGUGUAGAGGUGAAAUUCGUAGAUAUUCGGAGGAACACCAGUGGCGAAGGCGGCUCACUGGUCCAUUACUGACGCUGAGGUGCGAAAGCGUGGGGAGCAAACAGG
rnacentral:rRNA from 1 species